UAGGUUCAAUUAUCCAAAUCAGAUUUGAAUUUCAAGCUUGAUUGGAUCAGGUUUGACAGCUUUUCGAAGUCAUUCGAUUUGGGCUUGAUUUGAAGCAAAUAGAGACCCAAUUUGAACCAGAUUGACUAUGACUUAUAGAGCCCAAGUUCUCUAAGACUCUCUUUCCAGAUCUCAUGCAGAAAAAAAGAGCACACAUGUGGAGAUGCGCCC
rnacentral:lncRNA from 1 species